ACCCGGGUGGCUCAGUGGGUUGAGCGCCCGACUUCGGCUCAGCUCAGCUCGUGAUCUCACGGUUCGUGGGUUCGAGUCCCGCGUCGGGCU
rnacentral:tRNA from 1 species